CUGAAGUUGGCGUGGAUCGUGGAUCGUGGAUCGGCUGGCGGGGCCCGUUCCGGGCCCGUUCUGCUCCCGCAGCAUCGGGCGAGGAUCUCCGACAGUGCCUUCAGUCGUUCGCCGCUGUCCCUACGAGUAGGAGGUCGUUCAGGAGGAGCAAGGUCAUCCCGAGAUCAAGGUGAAUCGAGCCGCUGGCGACCCAGUCGACCCAACUAACUCCACGAGGCGCUCUAUAUCUUUCGACGAACAACCCGUUUGGCACGGAUAACGCGAUUGGCUAAGACUCGGUCUUGAAAAUGAGCGACAAGAUAAUUCGUGGUACCACCCUAACCUCAGCAGGGAAUAAACGAAGCAGCUGAUUGGAGCAACGAGGCUUUCUAGAGUAUCAACAUUUUUGCUCUGCCUUGCACAGGAUAUCGUCGUCUUGAAGUGAGCAUGCUGCAGGAUACGAUAAAUCAUUCGAAUUUCAUUCUCUCGAUAGGAACUUCCAUUUCAAAGGUUCAACAGCAUACUAAGAAUCGUGAAGUUCGUUUUUGGAAUCGAUAUGAGGGAUACUCGAAGCCUUCUAGGACGUUCUUUCUUUUGUCAGUGUUUACCAAAGGACAGGAUCAUCGGCUUAUGUCGUCAAGAGGGACGUCUCAACGAUCGUUAACACAGAUCUAAGUGGAGAUAAUCAAGAACUAAGUGUCAUUGAUCGAGGAAUAGAAGAUGGAUCGUAAGAAGUUAACAGAGAGAACUCGAUGUCUGCGUCACCUGCGGAAUGAUUGUACAAUAGGACGUAAAAAGAAAAAACAAAGCGGAUCGCGAAAGACCUACUUGGGUUCAAAUGUGAAUGGUCAAAUCGCAUGGAAGAAUUUCAAAGUGAAAUGUUUUAUCGGGCAUUGUCCUGUGGCAGGAAAUAUCUGUUUGAAGUAAAUACACAACAGUGAGAUGAUAAAAAGUCAGAACCGACAGUAACGACUUCCUAAAGAGAUCAAAGAAUCUUCUGGCUUCUAGCAUUUAACGAACGUUGCGCGCAGUUUCAUUAAUUGAGUCAAGUGCACGAUGGAACAUGGUUUACAAACGCGUACAAAACUAUGUACAUGCUAUAUAUUGAUUUAGAAUUUAUUUGUCGCAUGCAUAAAGAAGUCCUUAAUGAAGUGUGCCGAAUGAAGGUAGCAGGCAUCAGAAUCUUAUUAUUUAUAGUUAAAACUAUGUGUGAACUGCCAGUGAAUCCUUAUUGAUCGUGGUCGCUGUGUUACGUAGCAUAGCCUCUUGAUCUUGGUCAAACGGAAGAGAAAAUAAAGCAGGUGAGAAGAAUUCCGAUUCUCGGGAUAAAGUAGCUAAAAGCAUUGAGUGUUCAGCGUGUAUGAUAAUGCGGUUAUAACGUCGGAGGUGUUGCGUUACAUAAACAAACCGGUAAAAGUAGGGUUAGUGCACUGUCUAUCUACUUACUUGCCAAUCGGCUUGACGACGUUCAUCGAGAUCGGCGAGAAGCCUUCUUUGAAGGAUUUACUUACGGGAUAUCCUUAACGAAGUGUGCUUGUCUUUGCGAAGUGGUGAGUUCAACAAGAGCCAGCAACGCGCCGGGCGAUUUCAACGCGCGAAGAGGCGACGUGCCCGUCAGACCCAUCGAACGCGAAACUGUUCAGCGGCUCAAUCAUCAACUCACGGUACGGCAAAUCGCAGGGGAACCCGUUCCGAUAAUUCGAACGUAACAUCGCUGCGCCGAAGCGGAGGUGUCGGGAGAACUGCAGGUGCGGACCCGUCGACCCAACCCACGGCCAGUUGCGAGAGAGCCACGUACCUGAACCACCAGCCAACAGAAACCAAGAACCAGCGCCUUCCGCACCUUCCGCGCCUAUGACGUCGGUGAAUAAAGCCAGGGACUACGUGGGCUUUACACUGUCGUGAUCUGAUUUAUGCGUCACGCUGUACAGGAUGUCUCGAAAAUACACAAGAGAAUAAACGGCAAUAUUCUACGUGUCCUGAAGGGGAUACCGUGGCGCGGGGAACACCUUUUCAACCAAUGAUCUGGUUCUCCAUGUCGAAGAUGUCUUACGUCAGCUGCUGUCUCAGGUGAUCUAAGUUAUUAUACUGGGGGAAUUUGAAAAGCAAUGGGUAAUAAUUUUUUUCCGACACCCUCUAGAUUAACGCAUGUUUUCGCGUGUGCUUUCACUGGGUGAGAACAUUGCGUGACCUUUUCCGAUGCUCGGGGGUACCAGCUGGUGGUGAAAGAUCGGCAAAAGAUCUACGAAGGAUCGCAGGCUAAUUGUAAUGAACUUGCGCAAGAGAAUAUGCUUACGCCUUUUGCACUUUGCGAUAUUCCAAUCACAAGGAAUCGCAGCACGAUACACAUAAUAAU